GUGGGGAAUAUUGGACAAUGGGGGGAACCCUGAUCCAGCCAUGCCGCGUGUGUGAAGAAGGCCUUUUGGUUGUAAAGCACUUUAAGCGAGGAGGAGGCUACCGAGAUUAAUACUCUUGGAUAGUGGACGUUACUCGCAGAAUAAGCACCGGCUAACUCUGUGCCAGCAGCCGCGGUAAUACAGAGGGUGCAAGCGUUAAUCGGAUUUACUGGGCGUAAAGCGCGCGUAGGUGGCCAAUUAAGUCAAAUGUGAAAUCCCCGAGCUUAACUUGGGAAUUGCAUUCGAUACUGGUUGGCUAGAGUAUGGGAGAGGAUGGUAGAAUUCCAGGUGUAGCGGUGAAAUGCGUAGAGAUCUGGAGGAAUACCGAUGGCGAAGGCAGCCAUCUGGCCUAAUACUGACACUGAGGUGCGAAAGCAUGGGGAGCAAACAGGAUUAGAUACCCCGGUAGUCC
rnacentral:rRNA from 1 species